AACGUAGGAGACGAACGUUAUCCGGAGUUACUGGGCGUAAAGGGCGUGUAGGCGGUUUGUUAAGUCUGGCGUGAAAGCUCUCGGCUAAACCGGGAGAGGUCGUUGGAUACUGGCGAACUCGAGGAUGGUAGAGGCGUGUGGAAUUCCGGGUGUAGUGGUGAAAUGCGUAGAUAUCUGGAGGAACACCGGUGGCGAAGGCGGCAUUCUGGACCAUUACUGACGCUGAUCCGCGAAAGCUAGGGGAGCAAACGGG
rnacentral:rRNA from 1 species